rnacentral:tRNA from 2 species
GGGGAUGUAGCUCAGUGGUGGAGUGCAUGCUUAGCAUGCAUGAGGUCCUGGGUUCAAUCCCCAGCACCUCCA